UACGUAGGGGGCAAGCGUUAUCCGGAUUUACUGGGUGUAAAGGGUGCGUAGGUGGCAUGUUAAGUUAGAUGUGAAAGCCCAAGGCUUAACUUUGGGAUUGCAUCUAAAACUGGCAAGCUAGAGUGCAGGAGAGGAAAGUAGAAUUCCUAGUGUAGCGGUGAAAUGCGUAGAUAUUAGGAGGAAUACCAGUAGCGAAGGCGACUUUCUGGACUGUAACUGACACUGAGGCACGAAAGCGUGGGUAGCAAACAGG
rnacentral:rRNA from 1 species